GGCUUCCACUUACUGUCUUUCAUUUAUUGUUUCGGGGAAAUGAAGCUCUCACAGAGAGCGGAAGAACGGAGAGACAGAGAGACAGACAGAGAGAGAAAGAGAGAGAGAGAGACAGAGAGAGAGAGAGAUUUCGAGGGGAAGACAGCGCAGGGAGAGUGGGUGAUAUCAGAAGUGGGAAAGUGGGUGAUAUCUUCUCGGUUUUGACUGAGUUCGAGAGUUGUUGUGUGCUGUCCUUCGAUGAGGGUUUCGGGGGGAUGGAGAUUGUGACAGAGAGCGGAGAAAUUAAGCUCUCACAGAGAGCGGAAGAAACGGAGAGACAGAGAGACAGACAGAGAGAGAAAGAGAGAGAGAGAGACAGAGAGAGAGAGAUGCCGAGGGGAAGACAGCAGGGAGAGGUAUGGCUGUUGUCUGCAAUUUCAUUUGCUGUCCUUCAAGGAGGGUUUCGGGGGAUGGACUGUGACAGAGAGCGGAAGAGAGAGAGAGAGAGAGAGAGAGAGAGAGAGAGAGAGAGAUGACGAUGGAAAGAAAACGAAGAGGAAAGGGGAAGCUACAUGCCUGAAUUUCGAAAGCCAAGUGCUUUUAAAAUUUUUUUUUUUUUCCUAUCAGCUUAGAUCUGGUUUUUUGUUGUGGAUUAUUUUCGAAUUUUUUAGUGUGUUAGGUCAGAUUUUAGUGGAAUAAUCAGAGAUAUUUAUUUCUUGCAUAUAUAUCUGCUUGCAGGUUCGGUUUGUCAUUUUGAUUUCGUACUCAAAUAUUUAUAUUUUAUUAUUACUUGCAUUUAUAUCUGCUUGCAUGUUGUGAUUGAGAGGCCAGAAUUACUUUACAAAUCUUUCUGCACUGUUUGGUUGGUUAGGUAGCAUGCUUUUGUCUUUUUUUUAAUCGAUUUGGGGAUUUUCUGCCCCUCUAUUUAUUCAUUUGCUCUCAGUUUUGUUUCUCAGGUUCCUGUGUUUUUCUGUUAACUGUUCAAAGGUCCAUUUUUUUCCGUUUUGUAGUUUAAAUUUUGUCUAUUAUUCUGUCUGGCCUACCAUUUCAAUUCCAAUGCUCUUAAAUUGUAUGCAUCUGUGUCUCUGUGUGUGCAUAUGAGGUUGUGCAUCGACUUCUCUGCUGCCUAAUUUUAAUGCAAUUUUUUUUAUUUCAAUUGUUUCAAGACGAGAAAACUCAUUAUUCUCUUAUUUUUAUGGAUUGCAGGAAACGUCCUGCUGACUUGGGAUUUCAGGGUUUUAUUGAAAACAAACUUAUACAUCCCAAUGCAAAAGGAGAGAGGAGGCAAUGGCUGGCAUUGUUGAUAACGCACUUCUCUUUGGAAAGAAACAUGUUUGGUCUUCAAAACACCAUUUAAAUGUGAAAGAAGAAGUUCCCCUCACAUGGUUAGAGCCGUAGAGGGGGAGUUCAAAGUCAAGAGGAGGGGCGUAAGCACAUAUUAAUUUUUUGUAUCUCAAUCUGAUUGUUUGAUUUUGGGUGAAUAGAUCAUGGGUUGAGUGAUGCAGGUGAAGCUUUGUUUUAGGACCAUCUUGGAGAAGUAUUGUUUGUUGAGCUGCCAGAAAAUGGUCACUCAGUCUCUCAAGGGGGCAGCAGCUUUGGAUUGCCUUUCCAGAAUGUUGAGGUCAUUGAAAUUAAACUAAUUGAACAUUAUUUGAUAAUUUUGGCAUAUGAAUUUGAAUUGGUAUUGAUUUAUUUUCACAACUUUUGGAAUUACGAGAUGGGACUACCAAGUCCAGAGGUCGGAUGGUCAUCUAAGCUGCUGUUAGUUUUGCUCUCCAAAUGACUCUCAUGAAUGCGAACCUUGAUCAAACGUACAUAAUAUUUGAGCAUAUUUGAGCAGAUAGUUUAUCCAGUAAAGGUUUCCACCUAUUUUACUUUAUAGAUACACUUAACAGUCUUUAUAAAUAAUUGAUUUUUAUAGAGUCAGUUGAGAUGAAACCUGUUCUGCAACAACUUCUUUUGAAGGUUCUUUGAAAUUUCUUCAGGUAUUUUUGGAAAAAAAGUGUGAUAUGUCAGCAUAGUCAUGGUAUAUGACAAUGAUAAUUUGAAGAACCAUUUAAAGUAUUUUGGUAAUCAGCAUACUAAAAUUUGAAUGUGAUAUAUCCGUUUAGUUUUCUAUACACAAUGAUAAUACUCAAGUAUAAUUUACAUCAUAUAUCUUUUAAAGUACAUGAAACUAUGAAGAAAAAACCCUAAUUAAUCUGAUUAUGGGGGUUUUGUUUUAUAUCAAGAUAUUUCAGCAGAAGGCAGACUUUGAAGAGUUCACGCUGCAUAGAAAGAUGAUGAAAUGCCACCCAUUGAAUCCAUUGUUGCUCCACUGGAGGCGAAGCUUAAGCUUGCUGCAGGAGGUGGGUGCGUUCACUAACUAAGCUUUCAAGGGGAGCCCAUCAAGGUUUGCCUGCUGGGGGAAUAUGGAGACUACGAGUGCACGAGUACCGCGCGUAUUUCGACAAGGUCUUCAAGCUUUACACAAAGCCAUGGAUCGCAAGACACUCCUCCCUCUGUUCUCUCACGCAUCUUCAGCUCUCUCUCUUUCACUCUUGAGGUACCUGCCGCUGUUGCCGAUCUGCAGGAGUUAUGGAGGAGUUGGGGAGGAAGAACAGAGUCUUCAGCAACUGAGCUUCAAAGCUACGUCGCUUUUGCCCUCUUAAUUUUCAUCGAGGAAGACGAUGAGUCGAGAAGAAGGUGGAGGCUGAAAGUCAAUGGACUCCCACAAGGAGAAAGUUGAAAAUCCAUUCGUAGUUUUUUUGGCGUGAUUUUAUCUGAAAGUUCUGGUUGCCUUGAAGGAUGCUCGAAUAGAUAUGUACCAAAGCAUGGGAGAUGCUCUUGCGCAGCAGUAAGGUGGCUUUGCAGCUCACAACACCUCUUCUUGACAACAACAACUUAUCCGGGUAUCUUCCGCCAUAGUUCUCAGAGUUGCCAAGCUUAUUAAUACUUCAAGUUGACAACAACUUUGGUGGGACUACAAUUCCAGAUUUGUAUAGCAACAUGUCUAAACUGUUCAAGUUGAGUUUGACGAACUUACAAUGGCCUAUUCCUGAUUUCAGUAGGAUUCCAAACCUCAGUUAUCCACAGGUUCGAGUUUAAUUGUGUAAAAAAUGGAGAGAUUGAUCACCGUCACUCAUAGCUGCGUUUCAGGAAACAAGCUCAUCUCUUGCCAAUUUUGUGUACCCACUUUUUAUUCAUGAUGGUUACUUCUCGCUUGCAACCCAAUUUGCUGCUAUAAAGUUUUGCGUUUUACAUUCUGUUCAUGCUUAAACCUCUUCCAACUUUGCAAUUCUGUGUAAAUCUUGCAGGUCAAGAUGGGACACCUAUCUGGGCAAUGUUGGGAUGUCUAGGCUUGGGUGGAGACGUGGACUUAUGGAAGUGUUGAAGUAGCUUAGCUCUAUCUCAAUAGCUCUCAUCUGUUCUGUUUAAGCUCAUUGGUGCCGACUCUGAGGUCAAUCAAGCAGAUAAGAUUCAGAAAGAAAACUCCACAUCUGUUGCCAGCAAUGCUCAUGGGGAACCAAAGCCUACAAAUCUGAAGCCUUUUAGGUUUAGAACUGAUGAAAGAGGGAUGUUUAAGGAAGCAACUUCGGAGACAAAAGUGCAUGCACCACUGAAGGAGAUCGCAUUAGUCAGGACUCCAGGGGCAAAGUCAACAAGCAAACAUCAGAAUGUGAUACACGUAUACUUGGGAGCUGCAAGUGCUUUGUGUGUGGUUUGAAUCUGAACAAUUACAUCGUGUAUCACCAUCAAAUAGGCAAAUUUGUUAUGUGUGAUGGUAUAUUUACGCAUGACUGAAAUGGAUUAUCUAAUUUUAUGCAAUUUAUAAUUUUGGGUUUCUCUAAUUUUCAGCUUUUUUGUGAUUUAUUUGAUGAAAGUUUCAAUCUUCAGGCAAAACAUUGGACCAGUUGGUCAUAUUUAGAAGAGCAAACGGGGAUGGAGUUCUUGGUGUUGCAUGAAGUUGAUGUGCAUGAGAUGGACGUCCAUCCUGUCUCCAAUGGAAGAAAAUCGAUGUCACCAUCUUCAGCUUUCCUCAUGCAGGCCAUUACUCUAGGCUAAGUGAAAAGUACUCGGUCCUUACUGAGUAAGUCACUAAUUAUUCAUUUCAAUUAAAUGCUGAUUAGGAUAUUAUGUGUAAAUAGGAUUGUAAAUAUGUUGUACAUAUAAUUUUCAAUCCCGCAGCAACGCGCGGGCAUCAUUGCUAGUUAUCUAUUCUAAAACUAAGGAGCAAUUGACUGUUCAUUGGGCUACAGUCAAUUGUUUGCCCCUCGAUUUCAUCUUAUUUACAAAAAAACCAUGAGAAUUGGGCUGGGUUUGAAGGAUAUUAUUUGAACUGAUAAGGGUGAUUUUGUCCGGAGGGUUUAGGACGAAUUACCCCUUUAUUUCACCUUAUUUGCAAGAAACCCAUUAUUUGUGGACUAGGUUGGAAGGGCAAUUUUGUCCUCUCGGUUUUGAGUGAAUUAAGGGGUUGCCGUGUAAGGGUUGCACUUGCUGUCUUUCAUUUAUGGUUUCGGGGAAAUGAAGCUCUCACAGAGAGCGGAAGAAACGGAGAGACAGAGAGACAGACAGAGAGAGAUUUCGAGGGGAAGACAGCGCAGGGGAGAGGUAUGGCUGAUGGAUUUCAGAAGUGGGAAAGUGGGUAAUAUCUUCUCGGUUUUGACUGAGUUCGAGGGUUGUUGUGUGCUGUCCUUCGAUGAGGGUUUCGGGGGGAUGGAGACUGUGACAGAGAGCGGAAGAAAGAGAGAGAGAGAGAGAGAGAGAUGACGAUGGAAAGACAGCGAAGGGGAAAGGUAUGAGUCGUCGAUUUCAGAAGUGGGGAUACGGAUUAUCCGGAUCUACCGCUGCAUGCCUGGAUUUCGAAAGAUAAGUGCUUUUUAAAUAUUUUUUUUUCUAUCAGCUUAGAAAGAUAAGUGAUUUCGAAAGAUAAGUGGAUUAUUUUCGAAUUUUUUAGUGUGUUAGGUCAGAUUUUGGGGGAAUCAUCAGAGAUAUUAAUUUCCCUUAUUAGUUUGCUUUUCUCUCAUUUUGCAUAUUCAUCUCUCUGUCUGCCUGUUUGUUCUCUGUCUUAAGGUCGGUUCUUUUUUUUUUUUUUUUUUUGGGGUUUUUUGUAUGGCUUUUUUUUUUUCUUUUUGUUUUCCAGGUUAUAGAUCUAAUGCUCUUUCGUAUACCAAUCUUGGUUUUGUUUUUCUUGGAAAAUUGUUUUUAUCUGAUUGUGGAUUCGUGGGUUUUAAUUUCUAUGGUUUGUUGCAGGUUGCAAAGCAAGAGGUUCUCACCUCAAGAUUCAGUUUAAGACCAUCAUGAAGAUCACCACACCCAUGAUCAUGUUCAUGAUCCUGGUGUUUCUUCUGUCAGCAUAGUUUGUGAAGGGAACUUAGAACUUGAAAAGGCUAACAUAUGGCUUGGUACACUGUUGUUGAAACGAAGUGAGGACAUAUAUCGUAUGAAAGGUCUUCUAUCAGUUCAAGGAAUGAAAAAGAGAUUUGUCUUCCAGGGUUUAGGUGCUCUGAAAAUGCCCACCCUUAUUUUUUUUACACCAAGUGUAUAUGGCAACCCAGGCAUUCCAACUUGCUCAGGGAAAUACUUCAUUUAAGGAAAAGCCUGAAAUAAUGUUGUCAAGUGCUAUACUGAAGCUAUCAGAUUGAACAUGAUGUGUGCAACUUAGAUUGCAACCAUGCAAUUGCUUACUUGGAGUUUCUAAUUCACAAACUGAGUGAAGGUCACAAUAAGUAUUAGUCACUAUGAGAGUGUUGGACUAUCCUCAUUCUGGAACCAGGUUUAAGAGGCCCCUGACAAUGACGUUGAAACGGGUAUAUAACCCUCUUCUUUUUGUCUUUUAGUCUUUCGCUUACUCGAGCAUAUGCUGUCAUUUAAAAUUAGUGGUCUGGUUAAUGUACCUGCAGUAUCAGUAGUUCCUCUCUUUUUAAUGGAGUGAUUCCCUUUCUUGGUCAUGUAAAAUCUUGGUGUCUGUAAAUAUACACAUCACAUGACUUUUAACACAAGUCUUGCUUCUAUCAUUUGAUGUUACAGUGGGUAAGCUCUGAAUUUAAUGAAUUGUUCAACUUUGAAUUUAAUGAAUUGUGGUGUUUUAUCUUCUGAAUUUCUAACCUAUUAAUAUUGGAAGACCUAAAAGAUUAUUCCAAUGUAUUGUUUCUGGCUUUAUUCAAAUUAGUAGUGAAAUGAUGGUAUUUAUAAAUUUUAAUUUUUUUUUCUAUGAUUUACAUGUUGAUGCAGAUUUAUUCUCUACGAUUCUCUGGUUAGGGUAAGCAUUUUGGUG